CCAGUCAGCACCUUGUAACGUGCGAGGCUGCAUUCACUCCCCUACUUUCGGCGUUUCUCCCUCUCCGCUUGCGCAAUGUAUUAAUGAAGAACCCGUAAAGUGUUAAAUGUUUGAAAUACAAAACCGCCGAAUUCCACAUGCUGAAAAAGGACUCCGCUACUCGUGCGCGCGGCACUGGUGUGUCUGUGCAAUAGACUCUGCAAAGAAAAACUACUCUCACACGCCUGCAAGUCCGCGGCUGCAAAAAGGACGCUGAAAACCUCAUUUUUCAGUUUCAAGACAAACGCUUAAAAAUCAAACUGGCUCACGUUCUUUCCAGCCAACCCAGUUUGACAGCUGCUCUUCACCCCACUUGGAGGACUGUCAGCAGCAAGAGGAUGGCAUCAGAGCUGGCAAUGAGCAACUCCGACCUGCCCACCAGUCCCCUGGCCAUGGAAUAUGUUAAUGACUUCGAUCUGAUGAAGUUUGAAGUGAAAAAGGAGCCGGUGGAGCCCGAUCGCAACAUCAGCCAGUGCAGUCGCCUUAUCGCCGGGGGAUCCUUGUCUUCCACCCCGAUGAGCACGCCGUGCAGCUCGGUGCCCCCUUCCCCAAGCUUCUCGGCGCCCAGUCCGGGCUCGGGGAGCGAGCAGAAGACACACAUAGAGGAUUUCUACUGGAUGUCCGGUUAUCAACAGCAGUUGAAUCCAGAGGCGCUGGGCUUCAGCCCCGAAGACGCAGUCGAGGCGCUGAUCAACAGCAGUCACCAGCUCCAGUCAUUCGAUGGCUAUGCAAGGGGCCAGCAGUUUGCUGGCGCAGCCGGAGCAGGAGGCACCAUGGCCGGGGAAGAGAUGGGGUCCGCAGCGGCGGUGGUGUCGGCCGUUAUCGCUGCGGCAGCCGCUCAGAACGGAGGGCAACACCACCACCACCACCAUCACCACCACAGCAACAGCCACCACCAAGGACCUGGCGUCCAGUCCAACGGCACUUCUGGGACAAUUCACCCACACAUGCGCUUGGAUGACCGUUUUUCAGACGACCAGCUGGUCAGCAUGUCAGUGCGGGAGCUCAACCGGCAGCUACGGGGGGUCAGCAAGGAAGAAGUGAUCAGAUUGAAACAGAAGAGGAGGACCCUAAAGAACAGAGGCUACGCGCAGUCCUGCCGGUUCAAGCGGGUCCAGCAGCGGCACGUCCUGGAGGGAGAGAAGACGCAACUCGUCCAGCAGGUCGAUCACCUAAAGCAGGAGAUCUCCAGGCUGGUCCGGGAGAGGGACGCGUACAAAGAAAAGUAUGAGAAGCUCAUCAGCAACGGCUUCAGAGAAAAUGGAUCCAGCAGUGACAACAACCCUUCAUCCCCGGAGUUUUUCAUGUCAUCCAGAAAAUUCCUCCAUCUGUGAUUUCAAGCCCCAAUCGUCCGUGCCCUUGGCUCUCUGAGGCACACCUCAGGGGUUCGCCAUGCAAAGAGAUACUGGAGUUCAGAGCCCAGCAGAGAGUUGAAGGACCCAGAAUAUGCUGACAAAGAUAAAACACCAGAUAACCCAAUGACUGAGCAGUGAUGACAUCAGAGCGGCUGACCAAUUGCACGAAGACACCUACAAAGCACAACGUUCAAAAAUGACUUCACUGAAGAACAAAAGACAAGACCCGCUGAAAUCCCUACAGUGAAAUUCUUGAAAGCCUCUUACUACUCCCGAUUCCCUCCCUAAUAUUUUACCUCCAGCUUUUUUCUACAAAACACGAAAGAAAAAAAAAAGAAAAGAAAAAACAUACAGACUCAUACUCAUGAGAUGGUUGACAAUGUCAGAUAGAUACAUUGGAAGGACUAUUUUCUCUUCGGUGGGAAGAUCAUUGAUGCAUGCCUCUGUAAAUAGAUCAUAAUAAAACCCUAUUCUUAUUCCUAAUAUAGGAAACAUACCAAGUCGUUCUCACCAACUUCAUAAAUCUUCAUGACUGUGGAUUGAGUACUCAUGGUUCAAUAUUUUCCAUAUGUAGUCAGUAUUCUUCUUACCUCCUCAGAGACCAUGUAAUUAUCAUUUCCAUUAUAAUUUCUCUACUCUUUGGAGUUAUUUGGACUGUAAAAAGUGUACUUCCUAUUCUUCUUAUUCUCUUUACAUAACAGCCUAGUCUUCCUCUCCAAUAUCCACACUAGAACAUGUAAAUAGAGAUGAAUGAGGACAACAGCAUGGAACAGACUAUAGUGUAUAUUUACCACUCCCCUAGUAGAUCACACAUCUCAAUAUGUGGAUAUUUCAAUUAACCAUUUUAAAAGUUUAAAAUACUUGAACUUGUUUUCUGAUAGUUAAAGACAUAGUCCUAGGUAUCUGGACACUUUUCCUAUGUAUUUAAAUAGAUGCGUAAAGGCAUUAGCUAUAUGUAAUGAUAUUAUUUGACUACCUUAUAGGGAAGCAAUCCAUUUGGUAUCAUCAAUCAGUUCCAUCUGUAAACAAACGGUCAAAAUGAAGAGGAAAAGACAAUUCACUAAAGCCAGUGCCAGUCUACCUUGGUACUACUAAACUAAAUAUUAUUUUUUAACUUUUUAUAUUGUUUUAUAUUGUUAUUUACACUUCCCCCCCAGUACCUACCUAUUUAAUCUUUCCCAUGGCAAUAAUAGCCCUCUCCAUCCACAUGUGUGGGUUGUAACUGCUGUGGCGAAGCCGCUGUUAGCCUGAGAGGGCCAUUUUUUUCUUUGCAUUGUUUGAUACGGUGCUCUGAUCCUGAGCCUACACAUGGGGGAAAAGAACACCUCAUUGAUUGCAAUGUAGACACGAGGACUCUGACCUCCGUCUUCUAUGGACUACGAAGAUAACCAAAUGGACUGACAGAUAAUAUGCCAAGCCAAUGAAGAGACAACCUCACAGGUUACCCCGUCACUGGUGAAGACAGAAAACCUUUGCAUGGACAACAGGGAAAACACUAGUUUGUUGAACACCUCAUCUCCACUAUAGUGCAUCCUCUACCUCUCAGUGUGUGCUGUGCAUCUACAGUAGGAAACCAUAACUUAUCUGUGACCCCCUCUACUAUCUCCACAGCCCACGUCAACACUGCAUGUUCCCAGAGCCUCAUGAGAAAAGUGUCCAUUCUGAUGGAUGCACAUAGUGAUGGGGAAAAACAAAACAAACACUGGUUCACUUUGACACCAACAAACUCUCACAUAGGAGCGCAUGCAUAUAGAUGCACAAUCAUUAAACAGCGCUCAAAUAUGUUGCUGUAUAUAUGUAGUGUAUCCCCUAUGAAUAGUCUCAGAUGCUGUACUUUGCAUGUUGACUUGUAGAUGGCACGUGACCAUUACUCAUAAAAGAGGUUGUGCAGGUAGGCCUAGUCACUGGAUUGACUCUCUAAGCCAAUGCAAGCUCUUUGUCAGCUUUGCAUCUCCUUAUUUUUGAUUUGAAUAAAUGUAUCGUAACACGACAUAAACUGUUUCAUAGCCCCUGUUGCUAUUGCGAAAGGUCCUCUUCAGCCAAACAGCAGCACUGAUAGAUUUUAAACUCUUUGAAGGGACACAUAACC